rnacentral:rRNA from 1 species
AUUGAACGCUGGCGGCAUGCUUUACACAUGCAAGUCGAACGGCAGCAUAGGUGCUUGCACCUGAUGGCGAGUGGCGAACGGGUGAGUAAUAUAUCGGAACGUAUCCAAUAAUGGGGGAUAACUAAUCGAAAGGUUGGCUAAUACCGCAUACGUCCUACGGGAGAAAGCUAGGGACCUUCGGUCCUGGCGUUAAUGGAGGGGCCGAUAUCGGAUUAGCUAGUUGGUGAGGUAAAGGCUCACCAAGGCGACGAUCCGUAGCUGGUCUGAGAGGACGACCAGCCACACUGGAACUGAGACACGGUCCAGACUCCUACGGGAGGCAGCAGUGGGGAAUUUUGGACAAUGGGCGAAAGCCUGAUCCAGCCAUUCCGCGUGAGUGAAGAAGGCCUUCGGGUUGUAAAGCUCUUUCGCAAGAGAAGAAAACUUACCCUCUAACAUAGGGUGAGGUUGACGGUAUCUUGAUAAGAAGCACCGGCUAACUACGUGCCAGCAGCCGCCGUAA